GGGGAUAGCCCGGCGAAAGCCGGAUUAAUACCGCAUACGCUCUGAGGAGGAAAGCGGGGGAUCUUUCGGGACCUCGCGCUCAAGGGGCGGCCGAUGGCAGAUUAGCUAGUUGGUGGGGUAAAGGCCUACCAAGGCGACGAUCUGUAGCUGGUCUGAGAGGACGACCAGCCACACUGGGACUGAGACACGGCCCAGACUCCUACGGGAGGCAGCAGUGGGGAAUUUUGGACAAUGGGCGCAAGCCUGAUCCAGCAAUGCCGCGUGUGUGAAGAAGGCCUUCGGGUUGUAAAGCACUUUUGUCCGGAAAGAAAACUUCCGCCCUAAUACGGUGGGNNGAUGACGGUACCGGAAGAAUAAGCACCGGCUAACUACGUGCCAGCAGCCGCGGUAAUACGUAGGGUGCGAGCGUUAAUCGGAAUUACUGGGCGUAAAGCGUGCGCAGGCGGUUCGUUAAGACAGAUGUGAAAUCCCCGGGCUUAACCUGGGAACUGCAUUUGUGACUGGCNAACUGGAGUAUGGCAGAGGGGGGUAGAAUUCCACGUGUAGCAGUGAAAUGCGUAGAGAUGUGGAGGAAUACCGAUGGCGAAGGCAGCCCCCUGGGCCAAUACUGACGCUCAUGCACGAAAGCGUGGGGAGCAAACAGGAUUAGAUACCCUGGUAGUCCACGCCCUAAACGAUGUCAACUGGUUGUCGGGCCUUCAUUGGCUUGGUAACGUAGCUAACGCGUGAAGUUGACCGCCUGGGGAGUACGGUCGCAAGAUUAAAACUCAAAGGAAUUGACGGGGACCCGCACAAGCGGUGGAUGAUGUGGAUUAAUUCGAUGCAACGCGAAAAACCUUACCUACCCUUGACAUGUACGGAAGUCUGCCGAGAGGUGGAUGUGCCCGAAAGGGAGCCGUAACACAGGUGCUGCAUGGC
rnacentral:rRNA from 1 species